AUUUCUUUUACAUUGUAGUGCCUAUUUACCUAUAUCUUUGACUCUAAUUCUGUAGUCUGAUGACAUUGAGUUGAUCAAGCAUUUUUAAACUUUUGAGAACACUUACUUUAUUUGGAAGGUAAUUGUUUUUGAGCAUUUUAAACCAGGGCUUUACAUUAAUAUAUUCUGCCUAGAUUACUUCUGGCCACAAAGCUAUCAUCCACUGAGAUUAUCUUGUUGGUUUUUGGCAUCAAUAUGUUCUUCUUAAUCAUAUAUUUAAGCAGGUUUUUUUUGUCUGCUUUGUUGAAUUGUUUUAAGUAUUUUUUUUGCAGUCAAUGUGCUCUGCCAUUCAGGAUGCUAGAUUUCAGCUCUCCAUCUGUCUUGAUUGCUGAUUUGUAUGUAGUAAAGAUGUAUUCUUGAACAAUUCUCUUUUUUUCCUUAUCUGUGGCUACAGGGAAAGAGUUAAUGUAGAGCCCUGGUGUUUGUUUCAGUAUGUUUCAUAUUUUAGAUUAGUUCA
rnacentral:lncRNA from 1 species